GCCGGUGUGGUGGCGCGUGCUGUAAUCCAAGUUACGGGAGGUUGAGACUGGUGGAUCGUUUGAGCUCAGGAUCUCUGAGCUCAGUGGACUAUGUCGAUCGGGUGUCCCAAUAAGUUCGGUAUCGAUAUGGUGCUCCUGGGGAGGCCGGGACACCAGGUCGUCUAAGGAGGGGUGCACCGGCCAGGUCGGAAACGGAGCAGGCCAAAGCCCCCGUGCCGCUCAGUAGUGGGAUCGCGCCUGUGAAUAGAGGCUGUAGUGAAGCCUGAGUAAUACAGCGGGACCCAGUCUUUU
rnacentral:SRP_RNA from 1 species